UUGACCUCGGAUCAGGUAGGGAUACCCGCUGAACUUAAGCAUAUCAAUAAGCGGAGGAAAAGAAACCAACAGGGAUUGCCUCAGUAACGGCGAGUGAAGCGGCAACAGCUCAAAUUUGAAAUCUGGCUCUUUCAGGGUCCGAGUUGUAAUUUGUAGAAGAUGCUUUGGGUGUGGCUCCGGUCUAAGUUCCUUGGAACAGGACGUCAUAGAGGGUGAGAAUCCCGUACGUGACUGGUUGCCUCCGCCCGUGUAAAGCUCUUUCGACGAGUCGAGUUGUUUGGGAAUGCAGCUCAAAAUGGGUGGUAAAUUUCAUCUAAAGCUAAAUAUUGGCCAGAGACCGAUAGCGCACAAGUAGAGUGAUCGAAAGAUGAAAAGCACUUUGGAAAGAGAGUUAAACAGUACGUGAAAUUGUUGAAAGGGAAGCGCUUGCAACCAGACUUGCAUGCGGUUGAUCAUCCGAGCUUCUGCCCGGUGCACUCGAUCGUAUUCAGGCCAGCAUCGGUUUUGGUGGGCGGAUAAAGGCCUUGGGAAUGUAGCUUCCUUCGGGGAGUGUUAUAGCCCUCGGUGCAAUGCGCCCUACCGGGACCGAGGACCGCGCUUCGGCUAGGAUGCUGGC
rnacentral:rRNA from 1 species